UCCUCGCUCAAAGAAUCGCAUUCAAAGCUCACACACAGAGGACCUACCCGUUCUCUCCUCUUCUACUACUGAGAGGUCGCUUUGGGAGAAAGUCCCCGGACACCCUGUCCAAAUUUCCUGGUCAGGCAAUGCGGAAACGCGCCGCCAUAGAAGCAGUUUGACAGCGGCUUACUGCCCUAUUCCCUCCCGGUUUCUUGACUGUACCCGACGCCUGGCGAUACCUGUCUGGUGGAAUCAAUGGUGGUAUGGCGGGCACCGGAGGGGGGUUUUUUAUUUGGGUUGCCUUUCGUCGUGUUUGCAUAGUCAUGCGAUUGCCUGGUUUCUUUACAGAGACUGGGUAACUCAAUGGGGCUCAUUCUUGAGGCGAGG
rnacentral:RNase_MRP_RNA from 1 species